UCUUAGGUUUUAUUGAAAACCACCAUUAAAACACAACCAUAGUUCU
rfam:Charadrius vociferus contig34355, whole genome shotgun sequence.